GAUGAAGAACGCAGUGAAAUGCGAUAAGUAAUGUGAAUUGCAGAAUUCAGUGAAUCAUCGAAUCUUUGAACGCACCUUGCGCCCUUUGGCCAUUCCGAAGGGCAUGCCUGUUUGAGUAUCAUGAACACCUCAACUCUCAUGGCUCGCCAUGAUGAGCUUGGACUUUGGGGGUCUUGCUGGCCUGUGGUCGGCUCCUCUCAAAUGGAUCAGCUUGCCAGUGUUUGGUGGCAUCACAGGUGUGAUAACUAUCUGCGCUUGUGGUUUUCCAUCAGAUAACCUUCAGUGAUGGAGGUUCGCUGGAGCUCAUAAACGUCUCCCCUAAGCGGGGACAGCCCUUUGAAUGUUUGAUCUCAAAGCAGGUAGGACUACCCGCUGAACUUAAGCAUAUCAAUAAGCGGAGGA
rnacentral:misc_RNA from 1 species